rnacentral:piRNA from 1 species
UCCUAUAGCUGAUUCCUCCCAGGUAA